GUAGGGUGCAAGCGUUUAAUCGGAAUUACUGGGGCGUAAAGCGUGCGCAGGCGGGGUUUUGUAAGUCUGUCGUGAAAAGCCCCCGGGGGCUCAACCUGGGGAAUUGCGAAUGGAGACUGCAAGGCUUGAAAUCUGGCAGAGGGGGGGUAGAAUUCCACGUGUAGCAGUGAAAUGCGUAGAGAUGUGGAGGAACACCGAUGGCGAAGGCAGCCCCCUGGGUCAAGAUUGACGCUCAUGCACGAAAGCGUGGGGAGCAAACAGGAUUAGAUACCCUGGUAGUCCACGCCCUAAACGAUGUCUACUAGUUGUCGGGUUUAAUUAACUUGGUAACGCAGCUAACGCGUGAAGUAGACCGCCUGGGGAGUACGGUCGCAAAGAUUA
rnacentral:rRNA from 1 species